rnacentral:rRNA from 1 species
AGCGAACGCUGGCGGCAGGCUUAACACAUGCAAGUCGAGCGGGCACUUCGGUGUCAGCGGCAGACGGGUGAGUAACACGUGGGAACGUACCCUUUGGUUCGGAAUAACGCUGGGAAACUAGCGCUAAUACCGGAUACGCCCUUUUGGGGAAAGGCUUGCUGCCGAAGGAUCGGCCCGCGUCUGAUUAGCUAGUUGGUGGGGUAAUGGCCUACCAAGGCGACGAUCAGUAGCUGGUCUGAGAGGAUGAUCAGCCACACUGGGACUGAGACACGGCCCAGACUCCUACGGGAGGCAGCAGUGGGGAAUAUUGGACAAUGGGCGCAAGCCUGAUCCAGCCAUGCCGCGUGAGUGAUGAAGGCCUUAGGGUUGUAAAGCUCUUUUGUCCAGGACAAUAAUGACGGUACCGGAAGAAUAAGCCCCGGCUAACUUCGUG